rnacentral:rRNA from 1 species
CGGCGACGGGUGAGUAACACGUAUCCAACCUGCCGUCUACUCUUGGACAGCCUUCUGAAAGGAAGAUUAAUACAAGAUGGCAUCAUGAGUCCGCAUGUUCACAUGAUUAAAGGUAUUCCGGUAGACGAUGGGGAUGCGUUCCAUUAGAUAGUAGGCGGGGUAACGGCCCACCUAGUCUUCGAUGGAUAGGGGUUCUGAGAGGAAGGUCCCCCACAUUGGAACUGAGACACGGUCCAA